rnacentral:piRNA from 1 species
AACUAACGAUGUGAUACUUUGCUGCA